rnacentral:lncRNA from 1 species
AAUGAUUUGUACUAUGGUUGGAUUUUUGUUGUCUCUAAUGUCAUGAUAGUAGAAAUGGAUAUGUGUUAGUUUCUAUUUUGUUAUUUGUUGUUGUGAAGGUAACAUGAUGUUGGAUUGUUGUGAGAAUUCUCCAUUUGUGGAAAUGAGUGUGAAAGAGAAGAGAAAGAUGAUGAAACUAUGUGAAGGAGCCAUUGUUGUGAAACACUUUUUUUUCUUCCUCAAAAUGAUUUUGUUUCUAUUUAAUACAAAGAGAAAGCAAUGUUUUAUAGGGGUUUUUUUGGAAUUAAAUAUUUUUGUUCAAUUUUUUAUUGCCCAAGUACUUCGCGUGGGACUUUCAAAUGAAAAUUUAAUUGUUUGUUUAUUUAAGUGCAAGUUCACUUCAUUGCACACGAGGCAACACUUGAUACACGUGUCUUGGCUCUUAGUAGAACCUAGUCAUAUAAACUUGAGAACAAAUAUAGUUUCGAGAGAAUCGGAAUUUGAUUUUUAUAAUUAGACUGUACUUAUUUUAUGGCAAACUCUGAAUUAUAUGAUUUUUUUCUCUAAGAAUUAGACGGUUAAUACAAAAAAAACUAAGUAGCAUGCCCGAGUGUUCAUAAGAGAUUCGUGUUCCACAUAUUUUAUCGGGUUGUUUUAAAUUAUAAAUAUAAAAGUGAUAAAUUUGAUUAAGAAAUAUUUUUGUUUAUAAUUAAAAAUUUGAUAUAAUAUUUUUGUAAAGUUUUCAAUGAUGAUAUAGUCAAUAAUUUUUAGAUAAUAAUUGAGCAUCCAACUAAAGAAGUUAAAAUAGAUCAUUGAACAUCUUAUUGCACAAGUUAAAAUUGACUAUCUAAGUACAAUAUAUUUGAAUCAUUGACACACAUUGUUGCAGAAGUUAAAAUUGAUCAUCAUAUCUGGUGUAAGUGGAAUGUGUUUGUAUAUCAUUAACACACAUUAUUGCAUAAGCUGAAAUUCAUCAUUCUCGUAUAAGUGCAAUGUGUUUGUAUCAUUGACCCACAUUGUUGCAAAAGUUAAAAUUGACCAUCCUAUGUGUAAGUGCAAUAUGUUUGUAAUGUUGACACACAUUGUAGCAGAAACUAAAAUGACCAGCCCUCGUAUAAGUGCAAUUGUGUUUGUAUUAUCGACAAACAUUGUUGAAGAAGCUAACAUUGUUUAUCUUCAUGUAAAUGCAAUAUUUUUGUUUCAGUGACACACAUUCAUGCCUGUAAGCUAAAAUUGUCUUGUGCCUAAUGAGACAAAACCACCUGAGAAUCCUUAUAAGCUCACUUUCAUGCCUAAAAAACAAGAUAAUUUGGGUAGUAUCUCAAUCCCUUUUGUAUGGUUGGUGUGUUAGAAAUUGAAAAUGUUUUAUGUGAUAGUGAGGCAAAUGUGAGCAUGAUGCUCAAUCUCACUAGUAAAAGAAUCCUAUUUGGUAAGCUUGUGUCAAUUUCACUGUUUAUCCUUGUGGUUAAUAAAACCGAAACAAAACCGGUGGAGAUUAUGUUGAAUGUGACGGUAAGUGAUACUUUUGUCCCAAUGGAUUUUGUGGUAAUGGAUCGAUAUAGAACAAGAUCUCGAUGUUCUGUAUUUCUAUGAAGAAUGUUUCUCAACAUGGAGGGAGGUAUAAUUAACUUGAUAAAAUGUCUAAUAAGGUUAGACUUUCAGAGUAAAAUGGUAGAAUUUGAUAUGAAAGAACUAAAACUAAGUUGGAAGAUGAGCAAGAAAUUGAGCACAUGGAAGAGACUGACUAUGAGAGGAAUGAAAGGUGUAGGAAUACGAAGGGGAGAAGCUUACCUUAUUCUAAGGGGGCAUAUAGUUGAACUAACGCCUUUAAACAAACUGAUGUGUGGGAUGCAACUCACGUGUUUUAUUUGUAAUGGUUUUUUCACUUUUGCGGCUUAACAAAGAUGAUUGAACAUGUGAUUUAAAGGAACAACACUCAUAGAAGUCGGAUUGUGGCUAAAGAUAACAAAAAUGGGUCUGCUACAACUGCUAUGGUUGUAACAGACCAUCAAGAGAGAAGUAUGAUUGCAAAAUUUCACCCCGUCCAAUCUUUGGGCCAGGGCUGCUACGAAAAGAGAAAUUUUCUAGGCAAAAAGAAAAAUUUUAAGGAUGAAAAGAGAAAUCAUCACAACUGUAACAUCAAUUUCAAACCUUCUAUAAAAACAAACCCAAACUUUAGUCCUCUUACCGUAAAAAUACGCUCUAACCAUCCUUCACUCACAAUUACCACUAACCAAAAACAUUUAUCAUAAUCAAACUAAUAAACCUCCAUAAACCACAAAACCCACCUAAACCCCUAAGGCCUAAACCAAAAACAAAAAAAAAUACAAGCCAAAGUUCAACAUCAAACAAAUAAAGAAAGAUAAGCAAUUGAGUCUUGUGUAAUCGUUGUUAAAUUUGAAUAAUCUAUUAAGCAUUUAAGAAUUAUUUUUUUACUUAAAAUUUGAAUAAGUUUGUUAUUNNNNNNNNNNNNNNNNNNNNNNNNNNNNNNNNNNNNNNNNNNNUUAAAAUAUCAAAUUCAUGACAACUUCAUUGCUCAAAUUGUGAAGUGAUAUAUAUUAUUCAAAUUCAUGCAACAAUCUAAUAGUUAGGCAUAUAUUUUCUAUAUUAUUAUUUUGUUCAUGAACUUGAAGCGAUAUACAAUAUUAUUAUUCAUGCAACAAUCUUAUAGUAUAUAUAUGAUGUCAAUAUUAUUAUUCCGAUUUUUUCAAAACGGGGGUAAAACUGAUUUAAGCCUUUAUUUGUUACUAAUUUUUAGGCAUAUAUUUUCUAUAAAUAGGGAGUGUUUUAUUCAUAGAAAAAUAAGAGAGCAACAAUGUAGGGUAUCAAUUAGGAUUUGCUGCCGACACAAGGCUAGGGUUUUGGAGAGAAACAAAGGGUUGUCUCUUGGUAUAACUCUAGGGUUGGGCAAAGGGGAUUGAUUACAUCUUGAGAAACACUUAUCAAAUUGAGUCUCUUGGUCACGGGAAGAGAUUCAUGUUUUGGGUAGAAUUAAGAUUAAUCGUUGUAACCCAAUUGAGAAUUUCUUUGUAAAGUUACUCUUUGAUAUAGUGGAACAGAGUGAUUGCUUUCUCCCCCAGAAUAUAAGUUGUUUUGACCGAACUGGGUAAACAAACAUUGUGUUCUUUCUUUUCUCUUAUCUUCUUUAUCGGUGUUAUUAUUAUUAUUACUUAUCCCGCUUGUUAUUGGUUGUCGUUAUAUUGCUCCACACAUCAAGUUUUCAUUGGUGUGAUUUUAUUGAUGAAUUCACAACAAUAUAUACUCAAUAACAAAAUGUUCAGAUGUUGAAAUAUCCCAAAGACUCUUAGCAAUGGCAUAUCCCCUAGCAAACCUAAACACGCCGGUGCCGCCGACAAUAGGAAGUUCCCUCACAGUGUCUUGAACAGGAUUCCUUCCGAGCAUACUAAGAGUACUACCAGCAAAUUCACCUUCAGUGAAAGCAAGAUUAAUUAGCAUAACCAAUCCACGAUCUUCCAAUGAUGCCAAACCAAACAUGCCUUGAGCUCUACCAACUUUUUUUUAGGUUAACUCUUGUUCUUCAGUUAAAAGGUUGUCCAUCAUAAAAGUUGUUCCAAACCCACUUGGUGCGCUAGUUGAUGGAUCUAUAAACAGCAUGCAGCAAGUUUAAUAUGAAAAAAAUUUAUCAGAAUUUUUUUUUUCUUCUUAAUAUGAAAGCUAUAAGUUUAAAUUUUGGAAUUGCCAAAUAGUAUCUUUGUGCUUUUUAGGACUUAUAUAUUUUAAUAUACAAUAUAAUUUUUGUAUUUAAUUUAUAUAUUAAAUGAAUUUGUGACCUCCCAGACAAUUUUUUUGGUUCCGCAACUGAGCAUAGUACAAGAAUAGUCCUUUAAUACCAUUAUUCAGGGCUCAGCCUAUAAAUACGCUCAUAUGCUUCAAGCUCUCUCACAAACAUAUUUUAUGCCUAUUUUAUCUAGUAUUUAUCUUAACUAUUUUAUGCUUUUAUUUAAGUACGUUUUAGACUAACUUAGUACAUUUUUCUUCAUAUAUAUUGGUGUUAAAAAAAAUUGAAUCUCCGGACAUUCCACUUAUUCACCUUUAAAAUGAAAUUUAUAGUCAUUAGACUACUGCAGAAAAAAAAAAAUUCUUAAUUUUUAUUCAAAUAAGAUUUCCAAAAUUAGAAACAAACAAGACAACCGCAUGCAGCAAACAAUCAACCCAGGUGCUCACCAAAACAAAUGAUCACCAUGCAUAAAAUACAAAACAGAAGAACCAUGCUGAAGCAUUAUUGACAUAAACUCUAAUACUACUUAUUUUUUUGACACAACAUAAACUCUACUACUUAAUUAACUAUCUCUAACUCUCUCUUAGAGAUAGAUAUAAACUAAAACCAAAGGGUAUUUUAGGGAUAAGAAACGGUAACAUUAUACUCAACAACAUAAUGUUCAGGGGUAGAAAUGGAGUUAACACUAUUAGCAAUAGCAAAGCCUCUAGCAAAUCUAAAAACACCAGUUCCACCAACAAUACAAGUUUCUCUAUUUUGUUUUGUAAUAGCAUUUGUUCCCAACAUACUUAGAGUACUUCCACCAUAUUCUCCAUCAGUAAAAACUAAAUUUAUUAACAUACACUCUGCAAUACUUUGAAGUGUACAAAGACCAAACAGCCCUUGAGCUCUUCCAAUUUGUUUUGAACUUAACUCUUGUCCUUCAGUCAUUGCAUCAUCCAUCAUAAAAAUUGAACCAAAUCCAUUUUUCGUGUUUUCCGCUGCGUUAACGAUUUGUAUCAUGGUGGGGUUUUUGUUGCCUCUAAUGUCAUGGUAGUAGAAAUGGAUAUGUUUUAUUUUCUCUGUUGUUUGUUGUUGUUGUGAAGGUAACAUGAUGUUGGAUUGUUGUGAGAAUUCUCCAUUUGUGGAAAUGAGUGUGAGAGAGAAGAGAAAGAGAAUGAAACUAUGUAGAAGAGUCAUUGUUGUGAAUAGAGCUGUCAAAACGGGCGGCCCGACCAAUUUCGGGCCGGCCCGGUCGGGCUUCGGGCUUCGUCGGGCCGGGCUAAAAAGCCCGGAUAAAAAACGGGCUACCAAAAUUAGUGCCCGAGCCCGGCCCG